UACGUAGGGUGCAAGCGUUGUCCGGAAUUAUUGGGCGUAAAGAGCUUGUAGGCGGUUUGUCGCGUCUGCUGUGAAAUUUCGGGGCUCAACCCCGAACUUGCAGUGGGUACGGGCAGACUAGAGUGUGGUAGGGGAGACUGGAAUUCCUGGUGUAGCGGUGAAAUGCGCAGAUAUCAGGAGGAACACCGAUGGCGAAGGCAGGUCUCUGGGCCACUAACUGACGCUGAGAAGCGAAAGCAUGGGGAGCGAACAGG
rnacentral:rRNA from 1 species